CGACGUUAUCGCCGGGCAGGGCCUCGGGCAGAGACUCGUGGUGCAUCUCCACAGACUUCACCUCAGUGGUCAGGUUGGGAGGAGCGAAGGUGACAACCAUACCAGGCUUGAGGACGCCGGUCUCAACACGGCCAACAGGGUUCCUGCCUUCACCCACAGCCGCAUGGGUUCAGCUCCAGCACUCUGCAAUGCUGAGCUAGAUGAAGUCAUGUCAAAGAAGACAAGAUGGAUGGAUGGUUGGAGUUCAGGUAGAAGAAGCCAGAGGACUCUCUUGGACAAACUGCACAGUCACGACCAGCGGCGCUGCCUGCGUUAAGCCCCGCCCCCGCCGUGCGCGCUCCCGACUGCUACACCCUGAUGCCGGGCAGCUGAGAGGAGGCACGCUGACGCCGCCAUCUUGGACUCCGAGAUAACGGUAGUCGCGAAAAGACAAAAGGGGACUAAAUAACGCACAAAAUCACAAUAAAUAGCGAGCGGUUUACCUCAGCUGCCUCUUUCUCGAACUUCUCGAUGGUUCUUUUGUCGAUUCCACCGCAUUUGUAGAUCAGAUGACCGGUGGAGGUGGACUUGCCGGAGUCGACAUGGCCGAUGACCACGAUGUUAAUGUGGGUCUUUUCCUUUCCCAUUGUUGUAGUUUCU